UAUAUUUAUAUCAUAUAUGUACUGCAUGUCUUCGAUUUUAGUUGUUGUCUCAACUAUAUACUAACUUUAAAUCUGAUAAUAUUUUAUCAGUUGGAUUUUCGUCGUAAUCAAUGUGUAUUUUGUUGUGUUCUAUUUUGCUAUCAAGUCAUAUCUCUGAUGAGCUGUUCAUAUUAAAGGUUAUUACUAAUAACUAUUAGUUACUUUGUGAACGCCAUAAUUAUUGUGUUUUGUAAUUCCAAUCAUGCCUACCAAGUGUUGUGCUCCAGCGUGUAGAACGGGCUAUGACAACGUGCCACAACAUUCUGGUAUUACGAUCCAUCUGUGGCCAAACACAAAGAGAAACGCCGGACUUCAUACCGCCUGGCUGAGAGCUAUUCCAAGAGAAACAGAUCUGAAGAAGACAGAUUAGGCACCAUCCAAAAGUAUAAAGCUGUGUUCCCUGCAUUUCAACGACUCUGAUUUCAUCUGUACCUCAAACCAGACGUAGUACCAUCCCUAUGGACUAACUACCCCAACUACCUCUCAACUCCUAAAGCGUCAUCAAGGGCAACUCAAGCUGCGACCACGUCACGUAGGGCUCAACAGUGACUCAUUUUGACUAACUGGCAACCAGAUGACCUCCAGGAACUAGCUUCCAAGGGAGAGAGUAAUGCUCUCUACUUUGUUGCCGGGUAUAUUGGGUUUUCUUUGAAGAAGAAGAUCACCUGUACAUCAUGGCAAGAGUUAAUGGUCAUUAGAGACACACCUCCUGACUCAAUAACCUUCGAUAGCCCAACCAAUCAGCAUGUAGACCUAAAAGAGUUCAUCGACAUAAUGAGUAGAGGGGGUUGUCGACUCCAUCCGACCUUCUCUACCUCUCCUGUCUUUAUGCUCACUCCAUGUUUUCUUACAUCACAGCUACUCCUGAAGA
rnacentral:lncRNA from 1 species